UAUAUGGAAGCUUCCUGAUAUAGUGCAGAUUCUAAAUUGUUAAAAUCCUGGCCCCCGGGGGUCGGAUGGGGCCACAAUAGGGGAUCAAAGUUUUACAUACAAACAUAUAGGAAAAAUCUUUAAAAAUCUUCUUCUCAAGAACCACUGAGCCAGAAAAGCUGAUAUUUACAUGAAAGCUUUCUGACAUAGUGCAGAUUCAAGUUUGUUCAAAUCAUGGCCCCUGGGGGUUGGAUGUGGCUACAAGGGGGGGAUCAAAGUUUUACAUACAAAUAUAUAGGGACAUUCUUUAAGAAUCACUGAGCCAGAAAAGCUGAUAUUCACAUGAACAGCUUCCUAACAUAGAGCAGAGUUAAGUUCAAAUCAUGGCCCCCUGUUGUAGGAUGGGGCCACAAUAGGGGAUCAAAGUUUUACAUACAAAUAUAUAGGAAAAAUCUUCAAAUAUCUUCUUCUCGUGAACCAUUGGGCCAAAGAAAUUCACAUUUACAUGAAAGCUUUCUGACAUGUGUAGAUUCAAGUUUGCAAAAAAUAUGGCCUCCAGGGGUAGGUUGGGGCCAUAAUAAGGACUACUGUUUUACAUGCAAAUAUAUAUAGAAAGUCUUCUGAUAUGGACCAAGGUGGCUCAGGUGAGCGAUGUGGCCCAUGGGCCUCUUGUUUAUUUUCGUUUGAUAGUCAAGAAUUUUAGACGAUCGCUACCCCCCCCCCCCCUUCAGAAAAAAACCCCACGCCAUCUGUCUGUCUGAUGAUCUUAAGAUUCUUAUGUGCAACAAAAAUGGAAGUUCAGUAAAAUUUCUGGCAACUCUCUUGCAUAUUGUAUUGAAGAAAAAAAUUUGAUUUAUAGUCAAUAUUAGCCCUAAAAUAAUAUAUGUCUCUGAUAUAAAGCCUACCAAAAAUACCGUGUAAUUUCAUUCCAAAUGUACCUAGCCAAAUUUGUCAUGUAAUUAGAUAUGUAAGGUAUUUUAUAUCUAUUAGAAAAUAUUUUAUUAUGAUUAAUUUUUCGAAUUUGAAUAUGGCGUAUUAUACGCCAACAAUUAUUCCGGAAAUAUAUUAUCUAUUGGUGACGUUUCACCCAAGUAAGUAUAAUCUCGCGAGACAAGCUCCGGUCAGCUCAGUAUAUUCCGUUACGCUACAACUCCAAUAUCAUUAUUCGUAGGGGAAUGUAGUCCCGGAGAAUUUGACGCUGUACAGAGUUUGCUCGCGAGAAUACCGCUUGUUUUCAUCGAACUCGUCUAAAGGUAGCUAUGACGUCACAGCCUACUGCACUACGUUACGAUAUGCGGUGAAGUCAAACUUCCACCAGAGUUCGUUUGCUAUCGUAGGUGACGUAAUGAGGCCUCGACGGGGAGUUUGGCGGUGAAGUAUGAAGCUCGAGCUCGAGGACUUACGUACUAAGGCUAGUCUAAAGGCAGCUCCCUGCUGUGACGUCACAAAUUGACAAUGCAUCAAAAUCACUCAUGGAACGCUUCCACUGUCGUCAGGGGAGGUGCGGUUAUCAUCUCCGCACAGCCAAUCAGAAUCGCGGAAGAAUUGUCUGCCAUUACCUCCGUCAAAACUUAUGAUGACGGAGGUUUUGAGGUACAGAUGUUUUAGCCUGAUUACUUCGAGUUCUCAUAAAAUUGGUGGAAUUGUGUGCAUCGGGGAAAUGCAACAGUGAUUCACGUUACCCAGAAAGGAUACUAGAAGUGAUGUUUAUCCCAUUUCCAAACCCAAAAUCACAUAAAGAUUAAUGUUUAUGUUGGAUAAAGGCGUGUGGUAGGCCCCACAGUAAGAGCAGAAUGGACCGGCACACAAAAUUCAUUGGAUAUACUUGUAACAGCAGCACAAGUCAGAGAAUUUACAAGACCAGUUUACAACAUCAGAAAAUGCCUUUCAUCAACAGAGAAUACUUAAUCAUCACCUGCAACUCCAGUUAUCAAUGGAAGCCCAAGAUUAACCCCACCAACCGGCCACCCCUUUUGACAUUAACAGUACUCUAUAGCAAGAGAAAAAAAAAAACAGGGUUGUUUUUAUAUUAUAUCAAUUUGAGACAUGCCACAUUUUGUACUUUGUUAGAGUUUUUUUAUACAUCUGAGCAAAUUCCCCAGUGUGUAAAAAAAGGAGGGACAUAACAAAUAUGACAAAACAAUCGCAGUUGUUAUUAACACUGAUGAGGCUGAGACAUAAUUUUGAAAUCAAGGACUUGGCAUCAAGAUUUUGUAUUUCAACACAGUGUAUCAGUGAUGUAUUCUGUGCCUGAAUUGACCUUAUGUUGUGUUAGGUUGUGUUUCAAUAUAGUCCUAUAGGAAUGAUAUUAACAACAUGACAACUGAAUAAAAGCUCAAUUCCCAACAACGAUCGCUAUCAUUGAUUGUGCAGAAAGGAAAUCACAGAAACCAUCUUCUUUAAAACUGCAGUUACAAAUUAUGCAUUCUGACUACAGAUCAGCUACAACCUAAAGGGGACUUGUGGAUUGUGAUCCUUUAGGGGACACAAUGGAAACUAGCUGUAUGCUAAUUUGUGUUAUCUUGGAUAAAUAAAGGCUAUUAUUAUUAUCA